rnacentral:rRNA from 1 species
AUUGAACGCUGGCGGCAGGCCUAACACAUGCAAGUCGAGCGAGCGGCGGACGGGUGAGUAAUGUCUUGGAAACUGCCUGAUGGAGGGGGAUAACUACUGGAAACGGUAGCUAAUACCGCAUACCAUCAGAUGUGCCCAGAUGGGAUUAGCUAGUAGGUGGGGUAACGGCUCACCUAGGCGACGAUCCCUAGCUGGUCUGAGAGGAUGACCAGACACACUGGAAAUGAGCAACGGUCCAGACUCCUACGGGAGGCAGCAGUGGGGAAUAUUGCACAAUGGGCGCAAGCCGGAUGCAGCCAUGACGCGUGUGUGAAGAAGGCCUUCGGGUUGUAAAGCACUUUCAGCGGGGAGGCGUUACCCACAGAAGAAGCACCGGCUAACUACGUGCCAGCAGCCGCGGUAAUAC